UGAAGUCGUGCCUGCCCAAUGAUGAGUUUAAUGGCCGCGGUAUUUUGACCGUGCAAAGGUAGCAUAAUCAAUAGUUUAUUAAUUGUGAACUGGAAUGAAGGGUUUGACGAAAAUUUUACUGUCUCUUAGUAAUUAAUUGAAUUUUAUUUUUAAGUUAAAAAGCUUAAAUUGGUUUGAAAGACGAGAAGACCCUAUAGAGUUUUAUAUUGGUUAUAAUAAAUUUUUAGGUUUAUUUGUAUUUAAUAUUUUGUUGGGGUGACGGAAAAAUUUGGAAAACUUUUUCUUUAUUGUUAUAUUGAUUUAUAAAUUUUUGAUCUUGAUUUAUGAUUAUAAGAUUAAAUUACCUUAGGGAUAACAGCGUUAUUUGUUUUGAGAGUUCUAAUCGAAAGACAAGUUUGCGACCUCGAUGUUGGAUUAAAAUAGGAAGGAGGUGAAGAAGCUUUUUUCUUAGGUCUGUUCGACCUUUAAAAUUUU
rnacentral:rRNA from 1 species